rnacentral:rRNA from 1 species
UACAGAGGGCCCAAGCGUUGUUCGGAUUCACUGGGCGUAAAGGGUGCGUAGGUGGUUAGGUAAGUCCGAUGUGAAAUCUCCAGGCUCAACCUGGAAAUGGCAUUGGAUACUAUCUAGCUUGAGGAGUGGAGGGGGGACUGGAAUUCUCGGUGUAGCAGUGAAAUGCGUAGAUAUCGAGAGGAACACCAGUGGCGAAGGCGAGUCCCUGGACACUUCCUGACACUGAGGCACGAAAGCUAGGGGAGCAAACAGG